UACGUAGGGGGCAAGCGUUGUCCGGAAUCAUUGGGCGUAAAGCGCGUGUAGGCGGCUUGGUAAGUUUGCUCUGAAAGCCCGGGGCUCAACCCCGGGAGGCGGGUGGAUACUGUCAAGCUCGAGUCCGGAAGAGGAGUGUGGAAUUCCUGGUGUAGCGGUGAAAUGCGCAGAUAUCAGGAGGAACACCAAUGGCGAAGGCAGCACUCUGGGACGUGACUGACGCUGAGACGCGAAAGCGUGGGGAGCAAACAGG
rnacentral:rRNA from 1 species